CAGCCGCCACGGUAACACCGAGGGUGCGAGCGUUAAUCGGAUUUACUGGGCGUAAAGCGUGCGUAGGCGGCUUUUUAAGUCGGAUGUGAAAUCCCCGAGCUUAACUUGGGAAUUGCAUUUGAUACUGGGAAGCUAGAGUAUGGGAGAGGAUGGUAGAAUUCCAGGUGUAGCGGUGAAAUGCGUAGAGAUCUGGAGGAAUACCGAUGGCGAAGGCAGCCAUCUGGCCUAAUACUGACGCUGAGGUACGAAAGCAUGGGGAGCAAACAGGAUUAGAUACCCCCGUAGUCCCUGUCUCUUAUAU
rnacentral:rRNA from 1 species